GCAUCGGUGGUUUAGUGGUAAAAUUAGCCGUUGCCACUCGCAAGAGCAACUUCGGCUAGCCCCGGGUUCGAUUCCCGGCCGAUGCA
rnacentral:tRNA from 1 species